rnacentral:lncRNA from 1 species
CAAAGCCCCCGAUGUGGCCAGAGGUAACCCAAUAGGCUCCCCCGUUACGCCAGAUUAUCCCUGGAGAAUUCACUCUCCACCACGUGAAAGGAAGAGACGAAAAGUUUGGGGACUCGAUAUAAGUCGGGAAGCAGCAGCUGGUCAGCUCUUUGCAUGCUUUGAGUCUAAUUACACAGAGCACAAAUCCAUUGCCCAUGAAGAAAAGGAACACUAGAAUGAGCCCUCUGAAAAAACCCAGGUGGUUGCCUUGACUCCUCACCUCUGAUUUACCCGCCUUCUCUGCUUCCUAAAGCUAAACAAAGUAUCACUAUGUCCUAGAAGAUGAAGCUCGCCAGGAAGCUGAAGUAACAAGAUCAACUCCUGCACCUCCACUGGCCAGUAAGGGAAUAAAAAGAGACCACGAAGACAGAAUUAGAGACACCAGCAUAGGAGAGAUCAACCGUUUUGGAAAACAGCAAGUGGAUAGAGAAGUGACAAUUAAUGUGGCAGAACAGAGAAAGCUGAAGCCCAAGUUCUAGGGUGGGGAAAGGCAGCAGGCUGAUUCCCACUCAACUCUCAUCAGGCUGGGAAGUGAGGCACGUGACCCUCUGCACCAGGAGAGACUGAAAACACAGAACAGCUGUGAGUCCUGCAAAGGCGCAUUUGAGCCCACAGAUCUGCCUCACUCCGUGAAGCCAGGUCCCCACCCCACUGGCACCCUGAAAGAAGACCAGAGUGAAAGGUUAUUCCUGAGUUUAAACUUGACCUCAGGGACACCACAAAAACAUAAAGGCAAAGAGUAAAUUCUGUAGAACUGGAAGCAAGCUGAGGAAGUCAUCCAAAAAGAUAAACGAAAUGCCCUUGAGCAAAGCAAAUUAGAAUAUCAACGUGGAGGUUUGAUAUCCAAUUGGGUGUUUCAAGAAAAACAACGGCAGUGAAGAAGAAAUGAUCAAAUAAUUCUAGCAAACAUUCCACGCCCUGACUGUGCAUUUCCAGAUGGAAACGACCAGAAAUGCCCAGAACAAUGAAUGAAAAAAGACACAUUACCAUUACAGAAACAACAAUUUAAAAACCUUCCUAUAGAAGCACCACACCAGACAGGUUUACCGUCACGUUCUACCAAACAUUCCAGGAACAAGAAAUCCUGACCUUAAAACUAUUGCAGAGUUGGUUUCUUCUGAGGCCUCUCUCCUUAGCCUACAGACAGCUGCCUCCUCCCUGUGUCCUCACGUGGUCGUUCCUCCCCGUUCCGCCCGUGAUGUCCCUAGCUCUCUCUGCAUCCUAAUCUCCUCUCCUUAUAAGGGCUCCAGCUCCAGUCAGAUUGGCUUAGGACCUCCCCUAACGACCUCAUUUUAACUUAAUCACCUCUUUAAAGGCCCUGUCUCCAUAUACAACUACUUUCUGAAGUACUGGGAGUUAAGGCUUGAACAUACGAAUUUGGAGGUGGGAGCACUUCAGCCCAUAACAACAUUCAUAGUUGGCAAUCUAAGAAGAAAAGGGAAUUUCUUCAGAUUGAUGAAGAAUAUCUACCAAAAAA